rnacentral:rRNA from 1 species
UACCAGCACCCCGAGUGGUCGGGACGUUUAUUGGGCCUAAAGCAUCCGUAGCCGGUUCUACAAGUCUUCCGUUAAAUCCACCUGCUUAACAGAUGGGCUGCGGAAGAUACUAUAGAGCUAGGAGGCGGGAGAGGCAAGCGGUACUCGAUGGGUAGGGGUAAAAUCCGUUGAUCCAUUGAAGAACACCGGUGGCGAAGGCGGCCUGCUGGGCAGUGGCUGACGCUGAGGCGCGACAGCGUGGGGAGCAAACAGG